UACGGGGGGGGCAAGCGUUGUUCGGAAUUACUGGGCGUAAAGCGUGCGCAGGCGGUGAUGCAAGACAGAUGUGAAAUCCCCGGGCUUAACCUGGGAACUGCAUUUGUGACUGCAUUGCUGGAGUGCGGCAGAGGGGGAUGGAAUUCCGCGUGUAGCAGUGAAAUGCGUAGAUAUGCGGAGGAACACCGAUGGCGAAGGCAAUCCCCUGGGCCUGCACUGACGCUCAUGCACGAAAGCGUGGGGAGCAAACGGG
rnacentral:rRNA from 1 species